rnacentral:rRNA from 1 species
UCGACGAUGAAUCUUCUAGCUUGCUAGAAGUGGAUUAGUGGCGCACGCGUGAGUAAUGCAUAGGUUAUGUGCCCUUUAGUCUGGGAUAGCCACUGGAAACGGUGAUUAAUACUGGAUACUCCCUACGGGGGAAAGUUUUUCGCUAAAGGAUCAGCCUAUGUCCUAUCAGCUUGUUGGUGAGGUAAUGGCUCACCAAGGCUAUGACGGGUAUCCGGCCUGAGAGGGUGAUCGGACACACUGGAACUGAGACACGGUCCAGACUCCUACGGGAGGCAGCAGUAGGGAAUAUUGCUCAAUGGGGGAAACCCUGAAGCAGCAACGCCGCGUGGAGGAUGAAGGUUUUAGGAUUGUAAACUCCUUUUGUUAGAGAAGAUUAUGACGGUAUCUAACGAAUAAGCACCGGCUAACUCCGUGCCAGCAGCCGCGGUAAUACGGAGGGUGCAAGCGUUACUCGGAAUCACUGGGCGUAAAGAGUGCGUAGGCGGGGUAAUAAGUCAGAUGUGAAAUCCUGUAGCUUAACUACAGAACUGCAUUUGAAACUGUUACUCUGGAGUGUGGGAGAGGUAGGUGGAAUUCUUGGUGUAGGGGUAAAAUCCGUAGAGAUCAAGAGGAAUACUCAUUGCGAAGGCGACCUGCUGGAACAUUACUGACGCUGAUGCACGAAAGCGUGGGGAGCAAACAGGAUUAGAUACCCUGGUAGUCCACGCCCUAAACGAUGGAUGCUAGUUGUUGCCUUGCUUGUCAGGGCAGUAAUGCAGCUAAUGCAUUAAGCAUCCCGCCUGGGGAGUACGGUCGCAAGAUUAAAACUCAAAGGAAUAGACGGGGACCCGCACAAAGCGGUGGAGCAUGUGGUUUAAUUCGAAGAUACGCGAAGAACCUUACCUAGGCUUGACA